GACGAGCGCUGGCGGCGUGCUUAACACAUGCAAGUCGAACGGAAAGGCCCUGCUUUUGUGGGGUGCUCGAGUGGCGAACGGGUGAGUAACACGUGAGUAACCUGCCCUUGACUUUGGGAUAACUUCAGGAAACUGGGGCUAAUACCGGAUAGGAGCUCCUGCUGCAUGGUGGGGGUUGGAAAGUUUCGGCGGUUGGGGAUGGACUCGCGGCUUUUCAGCUUGUUGGUGGGGUAUUGGCUUACCAAGGCUUUGACGGGUAGCCGGCCUGAGAGGGUGACCGGCCACAUUGGGACUGAGAUACGGCCCAGACUGCUACGGGAGGCAGCAGUGGGGAAUAUUGCACAAUGGGCGGAAGCCUGAUGCAGCAACGCCGCGUGCGGGAUGACGGCCUACGGGUUGUAAACCGCUUUAGCCUGUGACGAAGCGUGAGUGACGGUAAUGGGUAAAGAAGCACCGGCUAACUACGUG
rnacentral:rRNA from 1 species